rnacentral:rRNA from 1 species
UACGGGGGGAGCAAGCGUUGUUCGGAUUUACUGGGCGUAAAGGGCGCGUAGGCGGCCACCGCAAGUCGGUUGUGAAAUCUCUGGGCUUAACCCAGAAAGGUCAACCGAUACUGCGGGGCUAGAGUGCAGAAGGGGCAACUGGAAUUCUCGGUGUAGCGGUGAAAUGCGCAGAUAUCAGGAGGAACACCGAUGGCGAAGGCAGGUCUCUGGGCAUUAACUGACGCUGAGGAGCGAAAGCAUGGGGAGCGAACAGG